rnacentral:rRNA from 1 species
CAAUAGCGUAUAUUAAAGUUGUUGCGGUUAAAAAGCUCGUAGUUGGAUUUGUGGUUCGUCCCGCCGGCUGGGUCAUUGACUUUUGCUGUGCUGGUCGUCCAUCCUUGGGUGGAAUCUGUGUGGCAUUAGGUUGUCGCGCAGGGGAUGCCCAUCGUUUACUGUGAAAAAAUUAGAGUGUUCAAAGCAGGCUUAUGCCGUUGAAUAUAUUAGCAUGGAAUAAUGAUAUAGGACCUUGGUACUAUUUUGUUGGUUUGCGCACUGAGGUAAUGAUUAAUAGGGACAGUUGGGGGUAUUCGUAUUCCAUUGUAAGAGGUGAAAUUCUUGGAUUUUUGGAAGACGAACUACUGCGAAAGCAUUUACCAAGGAUGUUUUCAUUAA